rnacentral:rRNA from 1 species
GAUCCUGGCUCAGAUUGAACGCUGGCGGCAUGCUUUACACAUGCAAGUCGAACGGUAACAGGCCUUCGGGCGCUGACGAGUGGCGAACGGGUGAGUAAUGCAACGGAACGUGCCCAGUCGUGGGGGAUAACGCAGCGAAAGCUGUGCUAAUACCGCAUACGAUCUGCGGAUGAAAGCGGGGGACCUUCGGGCCUCGCGCGAUUGGAGCGGCCGAUGUCAGAUUAGGUAGUUGGUGGGGUAAAGGCCUACCAAGCCGACGAUCUGUAGCUGGUCUGAGAGGACGACCAGCCACACUGGGACUGAGACACGGCCCAGACUCCUACGGGAGGCAGCAGUGGGGAAUUUUGGACAAUGGGCGCAAGCCUGAUCCAGCAAUGCCGCGUGCAGGAAGAAGGCCUUCGGGUUGUAAACUGCUUUUGUACGGAACGAAAAGGCUCUGGUUAAUACCUGGGGCUCAUGACGGUACCGUAAGAAUAAGCACCGGCUAACUACGUG